UUUGAUAAAAAAUUUCAACAUUUUUAAAAGUCAGAAACUAUUUUUUAUCAAUUAAAAAUGAGAAAAAAUAACCUAAUUGAACUAAAAUCUCAAAUAAAUCUCAAAUCAAUUAAUAAAUUGAUGGGAAUAUUUUUCAUAGAUCCAUCAUCAUUCAAAUAGGUUGAGAAAAUAUUUUUGUAUUUUUUAAAUAUCAAAAACUAUUUAAAAUGAAUUAAAAAGAACCAGAAAAGAGAAAAUUAUUAAAAA
rnacentral:lncRNA from 1 species